CGACCGAUACGCGGGAGCGCGCACCGAGCGUGCUGAGAGGACAGCUGGGGCUGUCGACCGUACGAACCUGACCGGGUAAUGCCGGCGUAGGGAGAUCUGAUGAGUGAAG
rnacentral:ncRNA from 2 species